UGAAUGGGGUAGAAAAAUACUCGUGGACAACCGUCAAAACUCUUACUGGAUUCAAACAGCCAAUACCAAUCAUUUAAAAUUAAACUUUUUUCAUGGCGAAAGGCUAAGAUUGAGAGGAAGACGUGAAGAAAACGUGCCUCAUUUUCAGUCAGAAUCUGCGAUCCAAGAUACAAGAACCGACAUUCAGCGUAGUUGGUCGAGAGGACGAGUUGAUUGAACUGAUGAACCGUAGGUCGUUGAUCUGACUCCGGAAGGACGACAGGCCGUUUUCCGAUCUGGGACGGUCAACCCCAAACGCGGGACGUUGACGUACCAGAACACCAUGAAACACGUACCAGAUCAGCGAACAUGGCGACCCAAAUCAUCUUCACCCAGAUUUUCCGGGGUUUGGGUGAUUUCAAGUUUCAACCCAGAAAAAAAAUAAAGAAAAAUCCCAACAAUCAAGCAAGAAAAUUACAAAAGAAAUUUGGAAGUAAAAAAAAAAAAAAAAGAAUUACAGUUACAAUCAGAUUAUGGAGCUUGAAGAAAAAUCCCAUGUCUGUAUUUUGCCAUAUUGUUAAGUUGGAGCUGUUGGAAUUUGAAGACUUUGAUAUUUACAUUUACAGAGGAGUGUUGGAAAGGGAAAUCACUUUAUUUUACUCCUAUUAAUUUACUAUCCUUUUUCCGGAGUCACUUUCAGUAGCGUACUGCGUAUCCGUUCUCGUUCCACGUCCCGAACCGUUUUGCGUUCUAGGUAACAUAGAACGAGCUAUUCUUCAAAAAUCAACAAUAAUGCUUCGGAUUGAAGUGAAAUGCAAAGACAAAAAAACGAUAUCAUAACUGCACUGAAAAAAGAAGACAUAAGAGGGGCAGACGAGCAGACACACCAUCGAACAGAUUUUUGACAUGCUUCACAAGUAACGAUAUGAUUCAGUUCAAAACUAAUUUACUUUAUGUUGUGUUUGAAAGUAUUUCAUUUCUAAUUAUAAAUUUCAAUUAUAAAUUCAUAAAUAAAGAAUUUGAAAAUGACAAGGUUUGAAAAGUCAUUUUUAAAUCCCCAACU